rnacentral:rRNA from 1 species
GACGAACGCUGGCGGCGUGCUUAACACAUGCAAGUCGAGCGGUAAGGCCCUUUCGGGGGUACACGAGCGGCGAACGGGUGAGUAACACGUGGGUGACCUGCCCUCAGCUCUGGGAUAAGCCUGGGAAACCGGUCUAAUACUGGAUAUGACUCCAUGACGCAUGUUGUGGGGUGGAAAGCCUUGUGCGGCUGAGGAUGGGGCCCGCGGCCUAUCAGCUUGUUGGUGGGGUGAGGCCUACCAAGGCGACGACGGGUAGCCGGCCUGAGAGGGCGACCGGCCACACUGGGACUGAGACACGGCCCAGACUCCUACGGGAGGCAGCAGUGGGGAAUCUUGCGCAAUGGGCGAAAGCCUGACGCAGCGACGCCGCGUGAGGGAUGACGGCCU